rnacentral:rRNA from 1 species
ACAGAGGUCCCAAGCGUUGUUCGGAUUCACUGGGCGUAAAGGGUGCGUAGGCGGUCGGGUAAGUCUGACGUGAAAUCUCCGGGCCUAACCCGGAAACUGCGUUGGAAACUAUCCGGCUAGAGGAAUGGAGGGGAGACUGGAAUACUUGGUGUAGCAGUGAAAUGCGUAGAUAUCAAGUGGAACACCAGUGGCGAAGGCGAGUCUCUGGACAUUUCCUGACGCUGAGGCACGAAAGCCAGGGGAGCAAACGGGAUUAGAUACCCCGGUAGUCCUGGCCCUAAACGGUGCGCGUUUGCUGUAAGCGGAAUCGACCCCGCUUGUGGCGAAGGUAACACGUUAAACGCGCCGCCUGGGAAGUACGGCCGCAAGGUUA